rnacentral:tRNA from 1 species
GGCCCGAUGGCGCAAUGGUAGCGCGUCAGAUUCCAGUUAAAGGUGUCUCCUGAAGGUUAGGCGUUCAAAUCGCCUUCGGGUCA